rnacentral:rRNA from 1 species
UACGUAGGGGGCGAGCGUUGUCCGGAGUUACUGGGCGUAAAGCGCACGCAGGCGGUCUGCUAAGUUUGGAGUGACAGUUGGUGGCUUAACUGCCAAAGUGCUUCGAAAACUGACAGACUUGAGGGCUUCAGAGGGACACGGAAUUCCGGGUGGAGUGGUGAAAUGCGUAGAGAUCCGGAGGAACACCAGUGGCGAAGGCGGCCUUCUGGACCAAUACUGACGCUCAUGCACGAAAGCGUGGGGAGCAAACAGG